rnacentral:rRNA from 1 species
UGGUGGAGUGAUUUGUCUGGUUAAUUCCGAUAACGAACGAGACCUUAACCUGCUAAAUAGCCAGGCCGUCUUUGGAUGGUCGCCGGCUUCUUAGAGGGACUGUCAGCGUCUAGCUGACGGAAGUUUGAGGCAAUAACA